rnacentral:misc_RNA from 1 species
CAUAGCAAUUAGAGCGACGUAACUGUACGGCGGUUUCUUGCUGGCGGAAUCGCUGUUACUACCACUUGUAUUUCCUGUUCCAGUCGCUGUGGAGGACCCAUCUGCCGCUGUGGUAGGCGUCGAGGGUGUCGACGGUGUCGAAGGAUUGCUGUUCGUGGUGCUGUGAAGAGCUCCGCUCGGGGAUGAUCCUUUUUCAUCGAGGUGAUGAUGAGUGGAACCUGUGGAGUGCAUAGACACCGCAGAAUUCGGGCUGUGAAGACUAUGGUGAGAGUGAUGAUGACUCAGGGAGGCGUGGUGCGAUGUCAGCCCUCUCGCGAGGCUCACUGUGGAGUCCAGCUCCUUCGACACGCCGAUACAGCCAUUCUGCAUCUCUGAUACGAAGCUGCUUACUGAAAAUAUUACAAAAGAAUCUGCCAAUGACCAAGGAGUAUCUAAGUGAAGAAAAUAAAGCAACAUUUUUGGUAAUUUUCUGAAGAGAGCAGGAGUUAAUAAGAGAAGGCGAAAAGAGAGGCUAGAUGAUUUUCAUUCGAGACACGGUUUCCAAGAAAUUGGACAAUGGAACUGGCUCGAUCGAUCUACGUACAGGCACGACUUCCAAGAAAUCUCAGUCGGGGUAAAACAAUUGGACCUUUGAAAGGAAUUCGCUGGGCGACACUCGAGCCUCGACGAUAAAAGUUGUUUGAAGAAAUGAUCAUCCAAGGUGCACUGCGUGCCCUUGAGUAAAAAUUACGUCAUUUUCUCUUUCACCGUAAACGUAUUUAUAUCUACUUCAUUGACAAGAAUCAUGGUUGCUACCAGAUUACAUUUACCAUUGUAUAAAUCAUAUCGUGCGAAUCGCAUGACUGAGUGCCAGAGGCCUCUGUGAUGGAAGAAAAUUGAGUGAAAAACACGGAGACAUGAGUCAGGAAAGGAGUGCGUACGUGCAUGGUGUCGAAUAUUCACCGGUGCCCCGCGGCACAUGUAACUGAAACCGUAAUUAGACACCGAUAAGUUAAGCACGCCGCACUUGCGCAACAAAGAGGAUAAAGCGGGUAACAGAGAAGCUCUGAACAAAAGGAAAAACAGCGGAGUAUGAAUUUUCGCAAAUUCAAUCGGAUCGAUUUCAAGAAGAGAAAGAACGACGAACGGAAUAUUCGAAAUUAAGUUAAAAAAUGGUUUGUUCAAUUUACUUCGGUCCAUUGUAGCCUGCAGUAAAUGAUCGAUUACAUUGUUAUCGGAACCACUAGGAACGGGAACAUCUGUUCCCAGGCUAUGCAAAUCCAGGCAAAUAUGAUAUGCCACUAACGCAGACCUCCAGGGCGUAUGAUUUUCAGCGCGGAGAAGCUUCUUCGUUCGGGACACAAUGAUGUUUCCAUAGCAGGAACAUG